CCCAGGGAUGAAUCCCUGGGCUAUUCUCAUCCUGUCCCUUCGGGACG
rfam:Armatimonadetes bacterium CG2_30_66_41 cg2_3.0_scaffold_28312_c, whole genome shotgun sequence.